UGGCUCUCGCAUCGAUGAAGAACGCAGCAAAGCGCGAAAUGUAAUGUGAAUUGCAGAAUUCAGUGAAUCAUCGAAUCUUUGAACGCAUCUUGCGCUCUUGGGCUACUCCUAGGAGCAUGCUUGUUUGAGUGUCGCGUACCUCUCAACCCCACCCUCUUCUUAAUCGAAAAGGGUCGUUAGGGUUGGAUCAUGGCGCUUUCUUUUUGCCUUGGUGAAACAAGGCUGCGCUGAAUUGCAACGAGCCGGAUUAAAUCCGACGGCUUGACCUGUUGUUAUAAAUUAAAAAUUCAAUAGGGACGUCGGUUUGAAUGGGCUCACCAUAAAUUGAUUUUUGACACUUGGACCUCAAAUCAAGUAGGACUACCCGCUGA
rnacentral:misc_RNA from 1 species